rnacentral:rRNA from 1 species
UACGAAGGGUGCAAGCGUUAAUCGGAAUUACUGGGCGUAAAGCGCGCGUAGGUGGUUCGUUAAGUUAGGAGUGAAAGCCCCGGGCUCAACCUGGGAAUUGCUUCUAAAACUGGCGGGCUAGAGUAUGGUAGAGGGUGGUGGAAUUUCCUGUGUAGCGGUGAAAUGCGUAGAUAUAGGAAGGAACAUCAGUGGCGAAGGCGACCACCUGGACUGAUACUGACACUGAGGUGCGAAAGCGUGGGGAGCAAACAGGAUUAGAUACCCCGGUAGUCCCUGAGCGGG